AAGAGAGAAGGAGGGAGAGAGAGAGGACAGCGUCGGCGGCUCUGCAGUGGAAUACGCGCUUAUUUGAGGAAGGCUUGGAGCGAGAUUGCGUUUUUAGGACUCUAUGAACGGGAUUUUUGUAAAAAUGUAACUCCUGGGCUCUUCUCACUUCACAAAACGCCUCACUCAAAUCUCCUGACAGCCCAAGAAAAAAAGAGAAUAACAUCUGUUUAUCUGCAAACUUCUAUGUUCAAGAAACAAGAGGAGAAAACAGAGACUGACAGAGGACAAAUGAGAUCUCAGAGGAUGUGGAAUUAGAGGAAACAAAUUGAUACUGGAGGACCGAAGGGGAAAUAAACCACAAAUCCACCAGUGUGGAGUCACCUCACCUGUAUCUUCGGAUUAAAGAGCAGGGUCAUGUCCCAGUUGCCAUGCGCAACGCCACGUUGACCUGCCUUCCCGGCCCUUCCCCCUUCCUCUUUUUAUUGGUCCAUCUGCUCCUGCGGCUCCUUCUCAUCCUCCACGGGCCGGAGUUAGCGGGAGCCUCCUCCACCUGCCCUUCCCUCUGCACGUGCUCCAACCAGGCCAGCCGAGUCAUCUGCACCAGGCAGAACCUGGAUCAGGUGCCUGAAAGCAUAUCAGUCAACACACGAUACCUCAACCUGCAGGAAAAUUCGAUACAGGUCAUCAGAUCUGACACCUUCAAGCAGCUGAGACACCUUGAAAUCCUCCAGCUUUCCAAGAAUCAGAUACGACAGAUUGAAAUCGGAGCAUUCAAUGGCCUCCCCAACCUCAACACGCUGGAGCUCUUUGACAACCGGCUCACGUUGGUGCCAACACAGGCCUUUGAUUACCUCAGCAAGCUACGAGAGCUGUGGCUGCGCAACAACCCCAUUGAGACCCUCCCGAGUUAUGCCUUCAACCGUGUGCCCUCCCUGCGUCGCUUGGACCUGGGGGAGCUCAAAAAGUUGGAAUACAUCUCUGAUGCAGCCUUUGUUGGCCUCGUCAAUCUACGGUACCUGAAUCUGGGUAUGUGUGGGCUCAAAGACAUUCCCAAACUGACUCCCCUUCUGCGCUUGGAAGAACUGGAGUUGUCAGGGAACCGUUUGGAGAUUAUUCGUCCUGGAUCCUUCCAAGGACUGGUGUCUCUUCGGAAGCUGUGGCUAAUGCACUCACAGGUUUCUGUCAUUGAGCGCAAUGCUUUUGAUGACCUAAAAAGCCUGGAGGAGCUCAAUCUGUCCCAUAAUUCCCUGCAUUCCCUGCCUCAUGAUCUUUUCACACCCCUUCACCAGCUGGAGAGGGUGCACCUCAAUCAUAAUCCUUGGGUCUGCAACUGUGAUGUACUUUGGCUUAGUUGGUGGUUGAAGGAAACGGUACCCAGCAACACCACCUGCUGUGCCCGCUGCCAUGCUCCUCCAGUCCUGAAGGGCAAGUACAUCGGAGAACUUGACCAGAGUCAUUUCACCUGCUUUGCUCCUGUCAUUGUGGAGCCUCCUACUGACCUCAACGUCACUGAAGGGAUGGCUGCUGAGCUGAAGUGUCGCACAAGUACUUCUACAACCUCCGUUAACUGGAUUACGCCCAACGGCACGCUAAUGACCCAUGGGUCUUACCGGGUGCGGAUAUCUGUUCUGCAUGAUGGCACACUGAACUUCACAAAUGUCACCUUGAGAGAUACAGGCCAGUACACCUGCAUGGUUACUAAUGCUGCUGGAAACACCACUGCUACUGCUGUCCUCAAUGUUACUGCUGCUGAUGCCAGUGUCAACUACACCUUUUUUACAACUGUUACUGUGGAAACCGAUAAUGGAGGAGCUAAUGAUUAUGCACAGGUUGCCAUUGAUGAGACCACCAUUCCCAUUCCGUCUGACCUGUUGUCAGAAGUAGUUCCUACCACCGAAUCCCCUCGGACUCUUGGCUGUUCAUCCUCCUCUGCACUAGCAACCCUACCUACUUUCACUGUGCCGUUCACGGAGCCAGGCUUCUCUGGCCUGGAUGACGUGAUGAAGACCACCAAGAUCAUCAUUGGCUGCUUCGUAGCUAUCACCUUUAUGGCAGCAGUGAUGCUGGUGGUGUUCUACAAGCUGAGGAAGCAGCAUCAGCUGCACAAACAUCAUGGUCCUGCACGUGCCAUUGAGAUCAUCAAUGUGGAGGAUGAACUAGGGCCCGGGGCCAGUGGGCGGGGCAGUGGAAUAUCCGGAGGUUCCACUGUAACACAAAGCGCAGGAAGUGGAAUGGGAGGGGGCCAGAGUCUCAGGUUGCACCAUCCAGAGAUUGUGAACCUACCCAACCUGGCUCGAUCAGAGCACCUCAACCACUACUACAAAACACAUCACUUCAACAGCAACAUGAUGGGCCUGGGAAUGGGCACAGGGUCAGGUGUGGGCCUCAACAACAACAACCCCUCGCCGUGCUCUCAGUCACAGAGCAUAUCCUGCUCCCAGGUUCCACCCAGCACUGGUGGAGGGAUGUCCACUGGUGGCACUCUGCCCUCCACCGUAGGCUUGCCUCAAUUGGGUCUACACAGUUCUCUGAAAGGCCUGAUGGGAAAAGGCCAGAACGAGCCACUACUUUUUAAGAGUGGCUCAAAGGAAAAUGUGCAAGAGACUCAAAUCUAAAAAAAGGUAGACGUCUGAAGAAAGACAGAGUCGAUGCUAAAGAGAAUGAGCAAGUGACUAUUUGAAAGUGAUUGUAGCCCAAUGUCCUUAUGGACAAAUUUCAGAAAGGAUAUACAUAACCUUUAUUUUGUGGUGGCCCUUUGCUACCAGAUAGUAAGACAAAAGGAGACAGUAGACCAAUCCCACCAACAGCAUUCGCACAGUCCCAGAUGUCAGAAUUACUCAUUGUGUGCAGCUUGAUAUGGUCUUUGCCAAAGCUCAAGAUUAAGCCUUUUCUCUCAGCGGACAGAGAUGAACAAUGCACACGUGCAGUGAACCCUUCAAGGAUGUAUACAGAUUGCUUCAUAUAUUUCCAGAUGCAUUCAGUGUAUAUAUUUGGAGGGAGACAUAAUAUUGGCCAUUGAACAUGUUGUCAGAUUAGUGUUUGGCAAAGGCAGAGAAUAACAAACAAUGAUUUGUGUGAGCGAAGUGGAGCUUUCCCAGGUUUUCAGGAAAACACGGAUGAGGCGAAAUAAGAGCAGAGCAGCCAGACUGAUUGGAAUAUCGGAACAACAAAAAGUGAUUUUGCUCCUCUCUUUAUCAGUUUUUUUUAUUUUACACUUUACUGGUUACUGUCUUCUUUGGAAGAGUGGAAAUAUCGUGAAGAAAUAAAGGACAAGAAUUAGAGAGAUAUAUAAAAAGAACUGAAGACGCAUAUUAUAUAUACCGUAAAUAUAUUUUCAUUCAAAUAAAUAAUUAUGAAGCUAAUGAGUGACCACUACGACAACUGAAGAAUAUAUAUAUAUAUAUAUAUAUAUAUCUAUAUAUAUAUAUAUAUAUAUAUAUAUAUAUAUAUAUAUAUAAACAAUUUUGAAAACUAGCCCAAGUCCUGUCACAACUUUUCCGAACUUCCGAAAAGAAAGGCGACUGACUGCUCUUCUUCUGGAUACACGUGAAAGAGCGGAGCUACAAAGCAAACCUGACAAAGUGAUGAAAAAGAAAUUAUUUUGGUCUUGAAUUUUUUUGUAGCCACAACUGUUUUCCCCAGAAACAGGGUCCUUUGAGAUGGGAGAUCUUUUACUCUCUGCUGCAAAACCAUGAAACACAACAGGAGCUUUUAAUGUUUUAUUCAUAUAUAGUGGCACUCUGGUAUUAGUAAUAAUCAUGACAGUAAUAAUGAUAACAAAUUUAGCUAUAUUUGUCAUCCAUGCAUUACUCUGCAUCUAAAAUGGUGUUUCAGAUAAUAAAGAAAAAAUCCUAGGACAUUGAAUAACAAAUAAUUUCAGAUCUUAAAGAUAUGAAAUGACAUUAAUGUUAUUAUGCUAUCAUUAUUACUGUUAUUGUUACUGCUAGUGCCCACAAAUAACUGAGAAGUGACUUUUUUCAUUUGUACAUGACGCUGAUUUCAUUGGGCAGAUUCAACAUGCCACAAAAUGACCUCUGUAAGCGUCAACAGGAAAUGACCUGGCCCAUAAAACGGCUUCACCCUCAUUGACUCCAUCUGAUGGGACCCUCAUGCUAUCUGACAUUAAGGAGGAAGACUGCACCUUUUUGCAGAGGAUUAUUUCCCAACUGUAUCUCAGUGUAAGGAGUGGAUUUGAUGGCAGCAGGGGGCAAAAAUGGACGAACCCUUUUUUAAAAGGGUUGGCUGCAGUGAUGGUGUAGGGACCCUCAUCUCCUCUCUCCGCCCCCUCGAUCACAAAGCUACUCACGGUCUUCCUCGACUCCACACGGACCCGUCCCUCGGCCUCAGAGACCACCUGUCCCAGAGACACAGCACACGACGGGGGCCGGCUCUCCUGUGACCUCAACGUCGAAGCGGAGCUUGUUUCCAGCCACCACGGUGAUGUUCUUAUUGCCCCUGCCACCUGCGUCCAGGUGGAUUUUGGGAGGAUCUUUCAUGUGAUCAUCCAAAGAAAAGACAUGAAUGAAAAGAUUAUUUGGAUGAUAGAGACAAUGAUUACUUCGAGGAGUCUUAUUAGGCAACCUUUAAUCAUUUAUGUUGAAGUUUAUUGUUGCUGCAAAGAUAUAUAGUUUUCUUCAAAAAACAUUAUGCAAGGAGAAAAUCAUAAAUUAGACUUUAAAUUUUUAAUUUCAAUAUUUUGUUAGACAGUUUCCAAGGGUCUCAUUACAUCAGUAUACAUACACAUUUAGUAAAUACUUGUCUACAUAACCACCACCCAUUCACCAUUAUCCACACUUACUGGGACUGACCACAUGUGGUAAAAUAAACGCAACUGAAGCUCUUAGCCACUGUUCAAAAUGGAAAAGACAGGAAAACAUGCCAUUUAAGGAGGCCGUGUGUGUUGAUCUUUAAAAGUCAAGAAUGGCUACAACUAACCUAACGUUCCCCACGUCUACAGUCACUCCAUUAAUUAAAGUUGAGAUAAACAAGGUCUUAAGUUUACCCUGAUAGAUAGUAAGAAGGAUGGUAAUAGAGGUAUAAAAAAAUCUCCAAAUCUAAAUCCCAACCAGUUGUUUGGGAAACAAGCCAGGAAAGCCUUUUCCAUCCUACCAUCACAAACACAAAUGUGUGGAGAUCUCUAAACGCUGCUAGGACUUUAACUGGAACUGUGUGCUUUAGCCAGAUGAUAUUAAGAUUUAACUUUCUGGCAACAAACACUCCAUGUGGAUCCGGUGGAGGAUCUGUGAUGCUGUGGACCUGUGUUCUUCAAGGCACCAUAAACUCCUUAAAAUUUCAGAACAUUUUGAAUACGCAUCCAGAUCGACCCAGAAAUAGUUCCCAGAAUACAAACCUAACCUUCUUCCAUGGCCAUCUUAAUCAUCAUACCUUCAGAAACAAGUGAGCUAAAGAGAGGGGAGCAUGAAAGAAGAACCAGAACUCUGGAGACUAUAGAGAAAUGGCCAAAGAUCCCUCUCUGUCUGCUCUAAUCCUGUAAAAUGUUAUGGAGUAGGAAAAAUCUGUUUUAUCAACAGCAGGAAUGCCAAUGAUUGCACUGGGUUCUGUAUUUUUAUUAUGUAGAACGAGAUACAGUAAAUUCUGGUUCUGAAUACGGCUUGUUUUAAGAAAUAAAGAUUCAUUUGCUAAAGCUUUUUGUACUCGACAAACGCAGGCAGUAUACAACUAUUGCUCAAUGAACAUUCAUCAUGGUGGCAGUCAGCCGCUAGUAUUCCGGCGUCCUGAUAACAUUAAGAUUGAAAUUAAGGACGCAGUUACAACUUACUCAUUAUUUCUCAGAUAAAAGCAAUAAAUAAAUGGCAAACAAUUCCCAAAAUUGUUGCUGCAAGUUUUAUACUAAAAUGUAGAGUCAAGGUAUCCUAAGCUAAUGUAAGCUAAUAAGUUGUUUAAUGAUAUACAUAGUUAACGUUUUUAUGAUAUAAUUAUUAUAUUUCUUUUGGUAGGCUAUGCCACCUGCUGGGGGAAACAGAUAACUGCAUUUGGCUAAAAUACAGAAAUUGCAGUUUGUUCUUUUUCGGCGCACUUCAGCAUGACGCGUCCAGUGUGUGCUUAGGUUUUUCCCUAUACCUUUUAAAACAACUUUAAAAAAGGAAAAUCUGUCUUUAAUAAACAGUUAAUUGCCAUUUUCUUGCAUGUUAGUUUUUCUAAACUGUUUAA